rnacentral:rRNA from 1 species
UACGAAGGGGGCUAGCGUUGCUCGGAAUUACUGGGCGUAAAGCGCACGUAGGCGGCUCUUUAAGUCGGGGGUGAAAUCCUGGAGCUCAACUCCAGAACUGCCUUCGAUACUGAAGAGCUUGAGUCCGGGAGAGGUGAGUGGAACUGCGAGUGUAGAGGUGAAAUUCGUAGAUAUUCGGAAGAACACCAGUGGCGAAGGCGGCUCACUGGACUGGUAUUGACGCUGAGGUGCGAAAGCGUGGGGAGCAAACAGG